CCUACGGGAGGCAGCAGUGGGGAAUCUUGCACAAUGGGGGAAACCCUGAUGCAGCAACGCCGCGUGAGUGAAGAAGUAUUUCGGUAUGUAAAGCUCUAUCAGCAGGGAAGAGAAUUACAGUACCUGACUAAGAAGCCCGGCUAACUACAUGCCAGCAGCCGCGGCAAUUCGGUGGGGGCAAGCAUUAUCCGGAUUUAAUGGGUGUAAAGGGAGCGUAGACGGCUUUACAAGUCUGAAGUGAAAGCCCGUGGGUCAACCGCGGAACUGCUUUGGAAACUGUAAAGCUGGAGUACAGGAGAAGCAGGCGGAAUUCCUAGUGUAGCGGUGAAAUGCGUAGAUAUUAGGAGGAACACCAGUGGCGAAGGCGGCCUGCUGGACAGAAACUGACGUUGAGGCUCGAAAGCGUGGGGAGCAAACAGGAUUAGAUACCCUGGUAGUC
rnacentral:rRNA from 1 species